UCAUUCUGGCUCUCAUCAUUGCUGUCAU
rnacentral:sRNA from 1 species